GGGAAACGGGAGGGAGGGAGGAAGAGAGAGAGAGAGAGAAGAAAGAGAGAGGGAGAGGGAGAGAGAAAGAGAGAAGAGUACCAGCGACGCUCUCGAGAGGAUCGGAAGGAUCGAACGGAGGAGAGCAACAGGCUCCUAGCGUGGAAGGAAGACGGUGGAGGGGAGGCGGUACAACUGGAGAGUUCGGUGCAACCGUCGAUUCCAUUUCGUUAGUUCGCGCUCGGUCUCCUUUUUCGUACGCGUGUCAG